CAAUAGCGUAUAUUAAAGUUGUUGCGGUUAAAAAGCUCGUAGUUGGAUUUCUGCUGAGGACGAUCGGUCCGCCCACUGGGUGAGUAUCUGGCUCGGCCUGGGCAUCUUCUUGGAGAACGUAGCUGCACUUGACUGUGUGGUGCGGUGUCCAGGACUUUUACUUUGAGGAAAUUAGAGUGUUUCAAGCAGGCACACGCCUUGAAUACAUUAGCAUGGAAUAAUAAGAUAGGACCUCGGUUCUAUUUUGUUGGUUUCUAGAGCUGAGGUAAUGAUUAAUAGGGAUAGUUGGGGGCAUUCGUAUUUAACUGUCAGAGGUGAAAUUCUUGGAUUUGUUAAGGACGGACUACUGCGAAAGCAUUUGCCAAGGAUGUUUUCAUUGA
rnacentral:rRNA from 1 species